CCUGGACACCCAGUGAACAACUGGCAAUAAUACAGCAGCUGCAAGAUGUUGAAAAGGCCCCCUUAGCUCUAGUCCAGUCUCUAUCCACAAUUCAAGCUACUUACCAGUGUACUUGGAUGGAUUUAAAACAGAUUGUGGCACUAAAAGCUGGUCCCAUUUGGGCUAGAAUAAUUGCUAAAUAUACAGAUGCCCAUGAAGAUAACCUCAGAAAAAGCAA